rnacentral:rRNA from 1 species
AUUGAACGCUGGCGGCAUGCCUUACACAUGCAAGUCGAACGGCAGCACGGGUGCUUGCACCUGGUGGCGAGUGGCGAACGGGUGAGUAAUACAUCGGAACGUACCUUAUCGUGGGGGAUAACGCAGCGAAAGCUGUGCUAAUACCGCAUACGCCCUGAGGGGGAAAGCGGGGGAUCGCAAGACCUCGCGCGAUUAGAGCGGCCGAUGCCUGAUUAGCUUGUUAGUGGGGUAAGAGCCCACCAAGGCGACGAUCAGUAGCUGGUCUGAGAGGACGAUCAGCCACACUGGGACUAAGACACGGCCCAGACUCCUACGGGAGGCAGCAGUGGGGAAUUUUGGACAAUGGGGGCAACCCUGAUCCAGCAAUGCCGCGUGAGUGAAGAAGGCCUUCGGGUUGUAAAGCUCUUUUGUCAGGGAAGAAACACCGGCUCUAACACAGUCUGGGAAUGACGGUACCUGAAGAAUAAGCACCGGCUAACUACGUGCCAGCAGCCGCAGUAA